rnacentral:rRNA from 1 species
GAUGAACGCUGGCGGCGUGCCUAAUACAUGCAAGUCGAGCGAACAGAUGAGGAGCUUGCUCCUCUGACGUUAGCGGCGGACGGGUGAGUAACACGUGGAUAACCUACCUAUAAGACUGGGAUAACUUCGGGAAACCGGAGCUAAUACCGGAUAAUAUAUUGAACCGCAUGGUUCAAUAGUGAAAGACGGUUUUGCUGUCACUUAUAGAUGGAUCCGCGCCGCAUUAGCUAGUUGGUAAGGUAACGGCUUACCAAGGCAACGAUGCGUAGCCGACCUGAGAGGGUGAUCGGCCACACUGGAACUGAGACACGGUCCAGACUCCUACGGGAGGCAGCAGUAGGGACUCUUCCGCAAUGGGCGAAAGCCUGACGGAGCAACGCCGCGUGAGUGAUGAAGGUCUUCGGAUCGUAAAACGCUGUUAUUAGGGAAGAACAAAUGUGUAAGUAACUAUGCACGUCUUGACGGUACCUAAUCAGAAAGCCACGGCUAACUACGU